UACGAAGGGGGCUAGCGUUGCUCGGAAUCACUGGGCGUAAAGCGCACGUAGGCGGGUCGUUAAGUCGGGGGUGAAAUCCUGGAGCUCAACUCCAGAACUGCCUUCGAUACUGGCGAUCUUGAGUCUGGGAGAGGUGAGUGGAACUCCGAGUGUAGAGGUGAAAUUCGUAGAUAUUCGGAAGAACACCAGUGGCGAAGGCGGCUCACUGGCCCGGUACUGACGCUGAGGUGCGAAAGCGUGGGGAGCGAACAGG
rnacentral:rRNA from 1 species